UUGUUCUGAGGUUUCAUAUAU
rnacentral:piRNA from 1 species